rnacentral:tRNA from 1 species
GAAGGUAUAGUUCAGUGGUAGAGCACGAGGUCCGGGGUUCAAUCCCCAGUACUUCCC